rnacentral:rRNA from 1 species
UGGGGAAUUUUGGACAAUGGGCGAAAGCCUGAUCCAGCAAUGCCGCGUGUGUGAAGAAGGCCUUCGGGUUGUAAAGCACUUUUGUCCGGAAAGAAAUCCUUGGCUCUAAUACANUCGGGGGGAUGACGGUACCGGAAGAAUAAGCACCGGCUAACUACGUGCCAGCAGCCGCGGUAAUACGUAGGGUGCAAGCGUUAAUCGGAAUUACUGGGCGUAAAGCGUGCGCAGGCGGUUUGCUAAGACCGAUGUGAAAUCCCCGGGCUCAACCUGGGAACUGCAUUGGUGACUGGCAGGCUAGAGUAUGGCAGAGGGGGGUAGAAUUCCACGUGUAGCAGUGAAAUGCGUAGAGAUGUGGAGGAAUACCGAUGGCGAAGGCAGCCCCCUGGGCCAAUACUGACGCUCAUGCACGAAAGCGUGGGGAGCAAACAGGAUUAGAUACCCCUGGUAGUCCAGCGCCCUAAACGAUGUCAACUAGUUGUUGGGGAUUCAUUUCCUUAGUAACGUAGCUAACGCGUGAAGUUGACCGCCUGGGGAGUACGGUC